rnacentral:tRNA from 1 species
GGUUCUGUAGCUCAGUCUGGUUAGAGCGCUAUGCCGUUACUGAGGUGGUUGCAAACACCAAAGUUAUGAGUUCUAGAUAAAGGCUAUUAUGGGAGGUCGCUGGUUCAAAUCCAGUCAGAAUCC